AAUAUAACUCAUUCUAAGUCGCUCUGGAUAAGAGCAUCUGCUAAAUGACUAAAG
rfam:Salmo salar isolate Sally breed double haploid chromosome ssa06, whole genome shotgun sequence.